rnacentral:lncRNA from 1 species
UGAGAUUUGACGGUGACGGCGACAGGGAUGGGGAUAGUGACAUUGGUUCCGUAGUUGAUGAUGAUUGGCGUUGCGGCGGCGGAGACGGGGGAGGCGGUGGAAGGGGUUUGGAGGCUGGGCAACACCAGGAGUUAUCUGGGGACACAAUGGUGGUUGGGACAAGUUUCCGUUGUUGGUGGUGGUUGCUGUUGUUCUGGGUCGAAGCAGAGGUGGAGGUAGGAGCUAUUGUAAUGGUGGAGGUGGCGGAAGAGGAGGCAGCGGAGGAGGAAAUGUUGGUUUCGCGGCAGCGUCGGCGUUUGGGCUUAAUGGGUUGGGUUUGGAAUUUGAGGUGGGCUGAAGUAGCUGCCAUAUGGUAUUGGGGAUGUAAUAGGGAGUGUGGUGUCGUUUUGGAGUUGUUGUCUUUUAAGGCAGUGUGGCAUCAGAGAAAGUAGUAAGACAGAAAUGAACAAGUAGUAUUGUAGUAUUAAUCAGAACGGGCGGUAGAUACGAGACAAACAAACACACAGAGAUUAAAGGACAUGAAAACAACAAAUACAAAUAGUAGGUGCUGAUUUCAAUUUAAUGGAGGAGAGAGAAAUUUGUUGGUUUCUGGGUACGGUGAUGGCGAGUGCUUUGGAAUGAAUGAGAGAUGAAAAAAAAAAGUGAGUUUGAAAUGGAGUUGGGAUUUUUGGUAAUUCCGCCGGAGAGGAGAGGAGAGCUUUUGACAGAGUAAAUGAAAUGAAAAAGUGGAGGAGGAUGAUAUGGGUAACG